AGUCGGACCUGCCCGGUGACUAUAUUGUUAAACGGCCGCGGUACCCUAACCGUGCAAAGGUAGCAUAAUCAUUUGCCUUUUAAUUGGAGGCUGGUAUGAAYGGUUUGACGAGAGCUAAGCUGUCUCUUUUGAAAUAUAUAAAAAUUAACUUUUAGGUGAAGAGGCCUAAAUUUAUUUAAGGGACAAGAAGACCCUGUUGAGCUUUAGUAAAAUUAUAAAUAUUUAAUGUCUAAACGACUUUGGUGUAUGUUGGCGUACAACCAUAAUUUGUAACUAAUCUUUAGUUGGGGCGACUGAGGAACAUAAAAACUUCCUUACAGUAAUUGAUUAAUUCUAACAAGAGUUAUUUUAAUGCUAUCAUGUUAUUUUGAUCCAGAGUGUUUUGAUUAAAGGAAAAAGUUACCACAGGGAUAACAGCGUAAUCUUUCUGGAGAGAUCUUAUCGAAAGAAGGGUUUGCGACCUCGAUGUUGGACUAAGAUAUCCUAAGGGUGUAGAAGUUCUUAAAGGUUGGUCUGUUCGACCAUUAAAAUCUUACGUGAU
rnacentral:rRNA from 1 species